GGCGUGGUUUAGGCAUGCAAGUCGUACGAUCGUAGGAUAGUGGCAAAAGGGUGAGUAACACGUGGGUAAUCUACCCUUAAGUCGGGAAUAACACCUCGAAAGAGAUGCUAAUACCGGAUAAGACCCCAGAAACGUAUGUUUAAGAGGUUAAAGACGAGGACCCUCGGGGGCUUAGCGCUUAAGGAUGAACCCGCGACCUAUCAGCUUGUUGGUGAGGUAAUGGCUCACCAAGGCAUUUGACGUGCUGUCGAGAGAUGUCAGCACACUGGACUGAGAUACUGCCCAGACUUCUACGGGAGGCUGCAGUCGAGAAUCUUCGCAAUGGGGAAACCCUGACGAAGCGACGCCGCGUGUGUGAUGAAGGCCUUCGGGUCGUAAAACACUGUCACGAGGGACGAAUGCACAAAGGUAAUAACCUAAGUGAUUGACGGUACCUCGAGAGGAAGCCACGGCUAACUCCGUGCCAGCAGCCGCGGUAAUACGGAGGUGGCAAGCGUUGUUCGGAAUCAUUGGGUGUAAAGGGCAUGUAGGCGGCCUUUUAAGUCGGUUGUGAAAUCCCUUGGCUUAACCAAGGAACUGCAACCGAUACUGAGAGGCUUGAGUGCGGAAGAGGAAAGCGGAAUUCCCGGUGUAAGAGUGAAAUCUGUAGAGAUCGGGAGGACACCAGUGCGAGGCGCUUCUGUCGAACGAGCGAAUCGAAGCAGGGGAGCAAACAGGAUUAGAUACCCUGGUAGUCCUAGCCGUAAACGAUGGGCACUAGGUGUCGGCUCGCAAGAGUCGGUGCCGCAGUUAACACAUUAAGUGCCCCACCUGGGGACUACGGCCGCAAGGUUGAAACUCAAAGGAAUUGACGGGGACCCGCACAAGCGGUGGAGCAUGUGGUUUAAUACGACGCUACGCGUGGAACCUUACCAGGACUUGACAUGUACCUGAAAGCCCGAUGAAAGUAGGGCCCUCCCUCAGAACAGGUAAACAGGUGUUGCAUGGCUGUCGUCAGCUCGUGU
rnacentral:rRNA from 1 species